AUUGAACGCUGGCGGCAGGCCUAACACAUGCAAGUCGAACGAGUGGCGGACGGGUGAGUAAUGUCUGGGAAACUGCCUGAUGGAGGGGGUUAACUACUGGAAACGGUAGCUAAUACCGCAUACCAUCAGAUGUGCCCAGUGGGGAUUAGCUAGUUGGUGGGGUAAAGGCUCACCAAGGCCACGAGCCCUAGCUGGGCUGAGAGGAUGACCAGCCACACGGGAACUGAGACACGGUCCAGACUCCUACGGGAGGCAGCAGUGGGGAAUAUUGCACUAUGGGCGAAAUCCUGAUGCAGCCAUGCAGCGUGUAUGAAGAAGGCCUUCGGGUUGUAAAGUACUUGCAUCGGGGAGGCGGUACCCGCAGAAGAAGCACCGGCUAACUCCGUGCCAGCAGCCGCGGUAAUAC
rnacentral:rRNA from 1 species